UACGGGGGGGGCAAGCGUUGUUCGGAAUUACUGGGCGUAAAGGGCUCGUAGGUGGCCAACUAAGUCAGACGUGAAAUCCCUCGGCUUAACCGGGGAACUGCGUCUGAUACUGGAUGGCUUGAGUGUGGGAGAGGGAUGCGGAAUUCCAGGUGUAGCGGUGAAAUGCGUAGAUAUCUGGAGGAACACCGGUGGCGAAGGCGGCAUCCUGGACCGGCACUGACGCUGAGGAGCGAAAGCCAGGGGAGCAAACGGG
rnacentral:rRNA from 1 species